UCUCAGCUGAAGACUGCCAGGGGUGGAUAAGGCAGGCCAAGUGUUUCUAUCCAAGGUGCAGAGACAUCUCAGCUGAAGACUGCCAGGGGUGGAUAAGGCAGGCCAAGUGUUUCUAUCCAAGGUGCAGAGACAUCUCAGCUGAAGACUGCCAGGGGUGGAUAAGGCAGGCCAGGCAUUUCUAUCCAAGGUGCAGAGACAUCUCAGCUGAAGACUGCCAGGGGUGGAUAAGGCAGGCCAGGCGUUUCUAUCCAAGGUGCAGAGACAUCUCAGCUGAAGACUGCCAGGGGUGGAUAAGGCAGGCCAGGCGUUUCUAUCCAAGGUGCAGAGACAUCUCAGCUGAAGACUGCCAGGGGUGGAUAAGGCAGGCCAGGCGUUUCUAUCCAAGGUGCAGAGACAUCUCAGCUGAAGACUGCCAGGGGUGGAUAAGGCAGGCCAGGCGUUUCUAUCCAAGGUGCAGAGACAUCUCAGCUGAAGACUGCCAGGGGUGGAUAAGGCAGGCCAGGCGUUUCUAUCCAAGGUGCAGAGACAUCUCAGCUGAAGACUGCCAGGGGUGGAUAAGGCAGGCCAGGCGUUUCUAUCCAAGGUGCAGAGACAUCUCAGCUGAAGACUGCCAGGGGUGGAUAAGGCAGGCCAGGCGUUUCUAUCCAAGGUGCAGAGACAUCUCAGCUGAAGACUGCCAGGGGUGGAUAAGGCAGGCCAGGCGUUUCUAUCCAAGGUGCAGAGACAUCUCAGCUGAAGACUGCCAGGGGUGGAUAAGGCAGGCCAGGCGUUUC